rnacentral:tRNA from 1 species
AGGUCGGUAGCUUAAAUGGAAAAGUCCUGGGAUAGUACUCUGGAGAUGCGGGUUCGAGUCCCGUCCGACCAA